rnacentral:sRNA from 1 species
GGGAGCGGUUACCCCUCCCCAUCGAGGCUGUAUUCGGCGCGAGCGCCCAUCCACCCCAAGCGCCCAUAUGGCUUGACCCGUCCGGUUGUCCCCCCGGACGGGUC